UUUCGCAAUGCCCGAAAGGGUGACGAAGCGACGCCGCGUGGGUGAGGAAGGCCUUCGGGUUGUAAAGCCCUGUCAGGAGUUAAGAAAUGUAGACUCGCUAAUAUCGGGUCUAUUUGACAAAGGCUCCAAAGGAAGCCACGGCUAACUCUGUGCCAGCAGCCGCGGUAAUACAGAGGUGGCAAGCGUUGUUCGGAAUUAUUGGGCGUAAAGAGCACGUAGGUGGAUUUGUAAAUCAGACGUGAAAGCCUUCUGUUCAACGGAAGAAUUGCAUCUGAAACUACAAACCUUGAGUGUAGGAGGGGAGAAUGGAACUUCUGGUGGAGCGGUGAAAUGCGUAGAUAUCAGAAGGAACGCCGGCGGCGAAAGCGAUUCUCUGGCCUAUUACUGACACUCAGUGUGCGAAAGCUAGGGGAGCAAACGGGAUUAGAUACCCCGGUAGUCCUAGCCGUAAACGAUGGGCACUAAGUAGAGGGGUUUU
rnacentral:rRNA from 1 species